AUGACGUACCUUCUCUCCACGUGUAACAAGUCUCAUUGCAACUUGUGCUGCUGUAAACACAGCAGCAAGAACAUCAGCUGCUCUUCCAGUAACUGGGGAGACAAGUACUGUUCACAGAUAACCGUGUCGGGAAAGCAAUGCCCCUUUCAGACUUCUUCUGUCAGGAGUGAUAACGAAUCCAGCAAGGAAGCAAUAAGGAAGAUGUUAUGGAAAACAAAACUGGAUCCAUUACUCUGUUAUAUGAUUUGUGAGGUUCUAGAUCCUAGAAUCGUCAAUCUCUUUUGUGGGACCCAAGGUGAAGAAGAAGCAGGGAGUACAUUAGACCAGGAAAAUCAUCAAAUGGCUGCAGGAACAAUGAUUUUCAUCAUCGCUCUCGUUAAGAUUGGUCUGCUGUGUCCUGCAGAGAUGCCUAAAGAUCGUCCAACAAUCCAGGAAUUGAAGUCACAACAAACAAAGAAGCAUUUUCAGCACCGCAGGGCUGAGCAGAAGUACAACCGUCCGUGUCUAUGGACUGCCCACACACUGCUGGAAACCGCAGCCGAACUUGCGCCCCGAGGCCAAGCUCACGCGGUGGCUGCGCGCGGAGCGAAACAGCUCAAGCCCUGCCGCACCGUCAGGAAGCAGCUCGUCCCACGCGGAGGACACCAGACCUUCGGACGAACACCUCGAGGGCACCUGCUCGACAGCUACCAGAACGGAAGACGCUGGGCGCCGCGUGUAAGGAAGGGCACCAGGUGGCAUGGAGGUUGUAUAAGCACGGACCAUCGGUCGAACAGGUGGCGUGCACCUCCGCAGCAGCGACAGCAGAGGCGCAGAUCGGUGGCGAGGCGGGGCGAGCGGAGUAGCAUUUGGCGGCGCGAGGGAGAACGGCCCUGCGGAGGACAGCCACGGCAGCUUAGCAGUGUUGAGCUUGAGCUUAACGAACGGCCAGGAUCUCUGCUAUCGCCAUCGAUCCAACGGCUCGCGAGGCUCGCCGUAUCACUGUACCGUUUUGUUGUAACUGUAGCUUUUCAUUCCCGUUAUAGUUGUCACCAUUGCCAGCGUAGCUAUAAAGCUAGCGGCCCCCGUCUGUUUUCCUCGGCGGCGCGACAGAUCGGAGCUGCGACGGUGAUUUCCCACCCUUCCCUCCCUUUCUCGUCGGCAGCGGAGGUGCUGGUGGCGAUUGGCGGCGGAGUAGGAGGCGCAGGCGGCGGUCGUGCGACGUGUGGUGCUGUUUCGGCGGCGAUCUCGUUCGGCGGCGGCGGCAGGAUGGGGCGUGCGAAGAAUAGCCUCGAUGAAUCAGAGGUAGCUGAACUCCUAGCCAUGAAAGGGGAAUUCCUGCAACACCGCGAGGAGACCACAGAGCUUCGUGGCGAAGUGGAUGAUCUGCGCAAGGACGUGCACGGCAUUGGCCUCAAGCAGGACACCAUGGUCUCAGUCAUGGAUGGAGUACAGAAAGCGGUCUCGUCCCUGAAUACACAGCUUGCAGCCAUGGCAGAUGUGCUCAAAUCCCUGUCAAAUCCAGUUGCGUCAACGUCAGCACACCCGGGCCAACCCGCAGCAGAACAACAGCAAGUCCACAAGGAAGCCAACGCGCCAGAAGACAGGCCACUCACAGCAGAACUGCGGAAAUGUUUGGAGGUUGAGCAGGCCAAAACCCGUCAAGUUGCUGCACAAAUCCCACCAAACCUUCCACCGAUUCAGGUCCCUAGGCCUUCUGUUCCUCCUGGUUAUGGGGCGACCAUCCCGCUGGACGCCCCCUCUGCAAAUGCAACUCCUACAGCUGCAUACAAAACUGCGCGUACCCCCACUUUCCACAACUUUCAACCACCUGUAGUGCGCCAAGGCUGGGAUGAUUUUCAGCGACAGUAUGAACAGGAAAUGAGGACUCAGUUUCUCAAGAGUAUCACCAAAGGCCCGCGCAUGGAUUUCCCACGCUUUGAUGAAAUUCUCCGACGGUUCUCAUCAGCAAGCUCUUAUGACCCGACAGAGAAGUUCACAAAUCUGAAACAAAAUACACUCACCGUGUCAGAAUACACAGACCAGUUUGAGGAAUUGAUGGCAGAAGUACAAGCUGAAAACCCUAUUAUGGACGAAAGCUGGUUUAUCAGGUGCUAUGUAAAUGGACUUCGCUCUGACAUAAAGUUUCAGUUACGGCCAUUGAGGCCCUCAUCACUGGCUGAUGCUUACUGGCUGGCAGUCGACUUGAAAAAGGGCCAACCAGAGAAAAAGGCUUAUAACACAUAUUCCAGUACUGGCAAGAGCUCUGGCAAUUAUCAGAAACCUUACACUGUUCUACCUGACAAAGCAGCUGAAAACAAGACAACAGUAGCUAACCAAAGAGCAAGAGAGCCUGGCAAAUGCUGGAGAUGUGGAGAUGUGUGGUUUCAUGGUCAUAAAUGCAAGAUGGCACCUGUAUUAAAUGUUCUCACUGGUGAAGAGCCACCAGAGCAACAGAAAGAACAAGAAGUUUUAGAAGAACCUGAACUGGAAGAACAACCAGAAACUGAAGAACACUGCAUGACAAUAUCAGCACAGGCCAUGCAGUCAGACAAUGUUAACACCAUUUCCAUCCUGGUGCAGAUAGGGGGAAAACAGGGCAUAGCUUUAGUGGAUUCUGGAAGUAAUUCAACUUUCAUCAGUCUCCAAUUUGCACUGUCCACUACUUGCACAAUUCGUAAAGACACCUCUAGAGCUGUUACUGUAGCAGGAGGAGGGACACUGUGGUCUGGUUCUUUUGUUCCAACAACCACUUUUAUAGCAGGUAACACUAAAUUUCAGCAACAGGUCAGAGUACUGGAUCUCCCUGGUCAUGACAUGGUGCUGGGCAGUGAUUGGAUGGCCAGGCACAGUCCUGUUUCCUUUCAUUAUAAUCCUAGACAGAUCACUGUAAUGAAGGACAAACUGACACCUGUCACUAUAAGGGCUUGUGAUACAUUAGCUGAUGCUACAACAAUUGAAGCUGAUGAAGUACAAAAGCUUCUCUCAGCAGGAGCACCUGGUUAUGUGCUACAACUCAUUAGAGAUACCACCUUGAAGAAACCUGACAACAACACUGUUCCUCCACCUGUGGCAGAGUGGCUCGUGCAGUGGGAAAACUUGCCACCCGAUGAAGCUUCCUGGGAGGAUGCGGCUUUCAUGAAGAAAACCUUUCCUGCUUUCUUCAAGGCCACCAUUGACCGUUGGUUCAAUCACUAA
rnacentral:rRNA from 1 species